AAUAAGAAAAAAAAUUAUCAUGUUGAUUUAGGAGCCUUUCAUCUGAAAAUUCCGAUAGAAAUAUACAACUAAUUCACUUAAAGCGUAUAGAUACAGCGCCCACGGAUUUCGAUUGUGACUCGGUCCAAUCGACCUCACAUCAUUUCGAACAUGACUAGGCGUAACUCAGCUUCACGCUAUUUCGAAUAUGACUCGGCUCACAUGACCUUCCGCCACAGGACAGCAUGCUGGUCUAUUUAAGCCAACAUAGCUAAGUUAGUAUUAGUAACAUAGUCUGACGGGGAUACCAUCUAGAUUUUUAUUAGGAAAGUAGUCAGAUAGAACAUAGCAUGUUGAUUUGUUUUUAUA
rnacentral:lncRNA from 1 species